UGGGGUGUCGCCAAGCGGCAAGGCAGCAGGUUUUGAUCCUGCCAUUCGCAGGUUCGAAUCCUGCCACCCCAGCCA
rnacentral:tRNA from 1 species